rnacentral:rRNA from 1 species
AUACGUAGGGAGCGAGCGUUGUCCGGAAUCACUGGGUGUAAAGGGAGCGUAGGCGGGAGUGCAAGUCAGAUGUGAAAUACAUGGGCUCAACCCAUGGGCUGCAUUUGAAACUGCAUUUCUUGAGUGAAGUAGAGGUACGCGGAAUUCCUGGUGUAGCGGUGAAAUGCGUAGAUAUCAGGAGGAACACCGGUGGCGAAGGCGGCUUACUGGGCUUUUACUGACGCUGAGGCUCGAAAGCGUGGGGAGCAAACAGGAUUAGAUACCCCGGUAGUCCACGCUGUAAACGAUGAUUACUAGGUGUGGGGGGACUGACCCCUUCCGUGCCGCAGUUAACACAAUAAGUAAUCCACCUGGGGAGUACGGCCGCAAGGUUGAAACUCAAAUGAAUUGGCGGGG